rnacentral:rRNA from 1 species
CCUACGGGUGGCAGCAGUGGGGAAUAUUGCACAAUGGGGGAAACCCUGAUGCAGCAACGCCGCGUGAGUGAAGAAGUAUUUCGGUAUGUAAAGCUCUAUCAGCAGGGAAGAAGAAAGACGGUACCUGACUAAGAAGCCCCGGCUAACUACGUGCCAGCAGCCGCGGUAAUACGGAGGGGGCAAGCGUUAUCCGGAUUUACUGGGGGUAAAGGGAGCGUAGACGGCUGUGCAAGGCUGAAGUGAAAGCCCGUGGCUCAACCGCGGAACUGCUUUGGAAACUGGCGAACUAGAGUGCGGGAGGGGUAAGCGGAAUUCCUGGUGUAGCGGUGAAAUGCGUAGAUAUUAGGAGGAACACCGGUGGCGAAGGCGGCUUACUGGACCGUAACUGACGUUGAGGCUCGAAAGCGUGGGGAGCAAACAGGAUUAGAUACCCUUGUAGUC